rnacentral:misc_RNA from 1 species
GAUGAAGAACGUAGCGAAAUGCGAUACGUAAUGUGAAUUGCAGAAUUCAGUGAAUCAUCGAGUCUUUGAACGCACAUUGCGCCCCCUGGUAUUCCGGGGGGCAUGCCUGUCCGAGCGUCAUUGCUGCCCUCAAGCACGGCUUGUGUGUUGGGCCUCCGUCCUCCUCCCGGGGGACGGGCCCGAAAGGCAGCGGCGGCACCGCGUCCGGUCCUCGAGCGUAUGGGGCUUUGUCACCCGCUCUUGUAGGCCCGGCCGGCGCUUGCCGACACCCAACCAUUUUUUUCAGGUUGACCUCGGAUCAGGUAGGGAUACCCGCUGAACUUAAGCAUAUCAAUAAGCGGAGGA